GCCGCGCCCACUUGCCUGCGGGCGGGGGUGGGGUGGGCAGCGCUGAGUUCGGGGAAGUUUAAACUGAGGGUGGUGGUGCUGGGGGAGCCUCUUUUCCGGAUAGCCGUGGGGGGGGGGGCGGUCAGAGAAAGGCUGUGUGUUACCGACCCGGGACUGGCGCCUGACUAGUGGAUCGCGGCUCUGGAGCUGGGCCAGGGCGCGCCUCGAGGCGUCGAGGGCCGACGUUUGAAGUCAGCAGAUUUCAGAAGGCAGUGCCAAGCGAGCCCCGGGGGCAGAGCCCGGAAGCUCGGGCCCCGGGGGGCCAGCCUGGGCCAUCCGCUCGGCAAUAUGGAUUCUCUAUAGCGACGAAAUUAAGAUUCCUACAUAGAUAAGAAAAAAAUGAGUUGAUCUAAGAGAAAAAAAUUGGUACAUUGGCACAUGGAUAUAGCAAAUUAAUUAAGAUAGUACUUUAAUGACUGAAAGUUGGAAAAUCCUGGAGUUGGUGUUUUAGAAUGGAGCAGUGAUAUAAAAUAUUGUCAUCGAGUGGCAUGGGCACCACUGACCACCUCCUGCCAUUUCAGUCAAGAAACAGGAAACACUACAACUAAUCGCAGGAGAGAGCUUCCCUCUCAUGGGACAUCCAGUCUACCAAGGGGACAGCGGUACUCCUAGAGAGAAGAGGGGAAGAGACAGCUACCACUGGAAUUCGUAAAGAAAGGGUUUCUGACAUUUCAAAGUUUAACUUCCACAGUGUCUUGCCUUGCAGUGUCAGUACUGAGAGGUGUGAAGAAAUAAUGCUGGGACAGAAGAAUUGGUAUCAUGGGACAUGUGCAGCUGCCAAGCAGUGGACAGACAGUAGGAUCCCUGAUGAACAGAGUUGUGUAUGGGCUGCCCAGCUGUCUCAGUGUCCUGGUCACAGGAGAGGUGCUGGAGUCCCAGUGUGGCUGGGGACCUUCAGAAGAAGAGUGUCUAGCAGAGGAGAGGAGACUUCCAGGGACCUUCAGGAAGGGUAGGGGCAGAUGAGGGGAUGCAAGAAGGACAUGGAUGUAGAUCAGUGAUGAUGGUAUUCCGGGCAUUGGGACCACUUGACCACAGCAAAGAAUGUCUUUUUUUGUUUGGGGGCACUGUUGAGACAGGAAACCAGAUUAGAAAAGACCUUAAAAACCAGCCAGGGUAUCUGGAAAUGAGGAGUGAUUAUAGACCCUGAAGAAUAAGGAAAAUAUUUCUUUAAGAAUUAUGUGUUUUCUUUAAAAACUAGAAACAUCUUUGGAAAGAAAAAAUUUUUCUCUAGUUUUUAGUUAUUCCCCCCAGACUUUUCAUAUUUCUAGAUGGAAAAUAUGGGAUGACUAUUAAUAACAGUACAGUGGAAUUGCUCCUAUCAGGUCUUGCAGGUUUUUUGUUUUGUUUGUUUUUGUUUUCUACAAGGGAUUGAGCCCAAGGCCUUUGCCCUGAGCUACAUUGUUCUUUUUUAUUUUUUAUUUUGAGACAGAGUCUCACUAAAUCAUUAAAUUGCCCAGGCUGGGCUCAAACUGGUAAUGUAAUCUUCCUGUCUCAGCUUCCCAGAGUGCUGGGGUCCCAGGUGUGUUCCACCAUGCUCAGCUCAGCAGCAGUCUUUAAAACAAAAGCAUCUUGGUGGCUGGCCUGGGGCUUGCAGUUUAUUAGCAUUGCUGAACUCUGCCACGCUCUGGGAGAUGAGGAAAGUAUGAAUGUGUGUGAGGCAUCAUUUAGUUGGACCCAAUAUUACCUGCCGAGCAAGGAAAGACAGGUGGACACCGAUUAACAGCUUGGCUGCUGGCAGAUCCAGGUUCCAAUCUCUGCUUUGUCCUUAUUCAGCCCACAAACAGUCUUAGUUCUUCAGUCUCCUCCUGCAUGGCAUGGUGUUGACCAACAGUAUCUGUCCCAUGGUGUUAUUCUGAGGAUUCACUGAGCCAGUGUAUUAAAGCAGAACAUUUAAAGCCGAAUAUUUAAAGCUGUAAAGGCUGUUACUUCAUAUUAGUAGCUGAUUAUGGAGGACCUAUUAAAAUAGAAAAUUCAAUAGCA
ensembl:lncRNA